GGGGCAGUAGUUUAGCUCGGCCUAAAGAGAAAGGUUGAGUCUCCUUCGACCCGGGUUCAAAUCCCGGCUGCCUCGCCA
rnacentral:tRNA from 1 species